UUAAACGAUUAAUUUUUGUAAAUUUGGAUUAUUAGUCUUUGGGGGAUUGAGGAAAUUAAGGUGAAAUUUAAUUUUUAUUGUUUUGGGGAUAAAUAUUGAAAUUUUAAUGGGAAAAGGAUUAGAUACCCUUGUACUAUUUUUUGGUAAGUAGUAGAUUUAUUAGUUGAAACUUAAAUUAGUUGGCGGUUUAAAGGUUUUAUAGAGGGGCUUGAGGAGUAAUAGAUGAUCCUCUUUAAAUUUUUUCUUUUUUUUUUAUCUUUUGUAUUUUUGUAAUAUUGAAGCUUGAAGGUUUAUUAUGGGUAAAUAUAAUUUGUUAUUGCAAAUCAAAAUGUAGAUUAUAGAAUAGAUUUUUUUAGCCACUUUUUUAAUUAGUUUGAAUUUUAGUAUUUAUUAGUAAAUUAAUGUUUUUGUCUUUUUUUGAAUUUUUAACUUUUGAUGUACAUAUCGCCCGUCGCUUUUAUUUUGGUAAAAUAAGUCGUAAC
rnacentral:rRNA from 1 species